AUACAGAGGGUGCAAGCGUUAAUCGGAAUUACUGGGCGUAAAGGGUGCGUAGGUGGUUUGAUAAGUCAGGUGUGAAAUCCCAGAGCUUAACUUUGGAAUGGCGCUUGAAACUGUCAGACUAGAGUACUGUAGAGGGUAGCGGAAUUUCCGGUGUAGCGGUGAAAUGCGUAGAGAUCGGAAGGAACACCAGUGGCGAAGGCGGCUACCUGGACAGAGACUGACACUGAUGUACGAAAGCGUGGGUAGCGAACAGGAUUAGAUACCCUGGUAGUCCAUGCUGUAAACGAUGAGAACUAACUGUUUGUUUCGAUUAUGAGAUGGGUAGUGAAGCUAACGCGAUAAGUAGACCGCCUGGGGAGUACGGCCGCAAGGUUAAAACUCAAAUGAAUUGACGGGGCCCGCGACAAGCGGUGGAGCAUGUGGUUUAAUUCGAUGCAACGCGAAGAACCUUACCUACUCUUGACAUACUAGAAACUUUU
rnacentral:rRNA from 1 species